rnacentral:rRNA from 1 species
UACAGAGGUCUCAAGCGUUGUUCGGAUUCAUUGGGCGUAAAGGGUGCGUAGGCGGCGCGGUAAGUCGGGUGUGAAAUCUCGGGGCUUAACUCCGAAACUGCAUUCGAUACUGCCGUGCUUGAGGACUGGAGAGGAGACUGGAAUUUACGGUGUAGCGGUGAAAUGCGCAGAUAUCAGGAAGAACACCCGUGGCGAAGGCGGUUCUCUGGGACGGUACUGACGCUGAGACGCGAAAGCGUGGGGAGCGAACAGG